UUACUUUAAUUUACUUUACCGCUAUACAGGGUUAAAUAAAAAAUAUCAGAAAGCUCUCGGCACGUAAUUGUUAUCAUUAAAACUAACAACUUUUG